ensembl:lncRNA
GUUGAAACCACAGGAGGGUCGAGCGGACCUGUAAUUACGACCUGACCGCUGUAAUUGUGUUUGAGCGGCGGAGGAACUGAGUUAGACAACAAGUGGAACAAAUUUGGUAACAACCUGCAUGAAGAGCAGCACUCUAGCAUGUGAGGCCUCGUUUAUUGAGCACGUUUCCUCAGCUGACCGAUCAAUGGAUCUGCUUAAAAGCGCGUGUUGGCGGCGCUCAGGCUUGAUGGCGUUUUAAUUUCUGCAAGUCAGGUUUGAGUUAUCAGCAUCCAGCAUCAGCAUCACAUCACACCAAUUUUUCUUUCCGCACCUCACAGAGCCACACCAGUCCCCAGGAUGACAGAGGAAUUUCACACUAAUCUAAUAUCCUCUUCCUGACAUCUAGAUUUCCUCACCCUGAGUCUGAGUGCUGGCACAUUUUUUGUGCUUUAUGGGCCAAAAGUUUAUUUUGGGCCUUGGUUAUUUUUACUCAGAUACACAGCUGGAUCAUUAGAGCUGCCAGUUUGGAGUAGUUUGGGCUUUACUUUAACAAGCUUGAAUUUUAAGAGUCAUUAUUAUGCAGAAG